rnacentral:rRNA from 1 species
CAGUAGCCGCGGGAAUACGUAGGUGGCAAGCGUUGUCCGGAAUUAUUGGGCGUAAAGCGCGCGCAGGUGGUUUAAUAAGUCUGAUGUGAAAGCCCACGGCUCAACCGUGGAGGGUCAUUGGAAACUGUUAAACUUGAGUGCAGGAGAGAAAAGUGGAAUUCCUAGUGUAGCGGUGAAAUGCGUAGAGAUUAGGAGGAACACCAGUGGCGAAGGCGGCUUUUUGGCCUGUAACUGACACUGAGGCGCGAAAGCGUGGGGAGCAAACAGGAUUAGAUACCCCGGUAGUCCCUGUCUCUUAUAC